rnacentral:lncRNA from 10 species
GAACUGGAGCUGCUGCCUCUGUCUGCUAAGAUGUGAAGUCCAAGACUGAAAGUAACAUAGCAGAAGGAGAACCAAAAGAUAUGUUGAGUCUUGAUGCUAUUUGUUGAACCAGUCCUGAAUCCAGCUGUGUCGGAGUCAGCGCAGCUUUUGAAGCUGGAGAGCAUCAUAUUUUAGAAAGAUCAAGCAAUGUGGAUGAGGACACAUUAAAAAGAGAAGACCGAGAGGAGGGGACACCACUCAGGCUUAUAACCUCCAGCUCACAUUUCAGCACCAAAGGACCAAAGCCUAGACCUGAGAUCUGGCACUUGCAAAAAGAAAGAUCACCUGGAAGAACAAAAUAGAAGACUCCUGCUCCCAAUAGGCUUGGGUCAGGAAGAAGGCUGUUGGCAUAAUUGUGGAGUAGGAAGAUGGAAAACAACUCCUAGAGAUCCCAACAGCUGAACGCGUGCUUGGGCAGUGGCUGCGGGUGAAGUCAUGGGAAGGCAAGUCAUGAAGGGCAUUAAUCAAGAGGGAAAUCUGGUUUCUGGAUUAACUACUGAAUAGCAACUGCAGUCAACAGCUGAUGGAAUCUUGCAGGAAGACUAAGCUGGUGUUCAGAGAAGUUUUGUUCAGGCAUCCCAUUUUAUUUCACUCAUACUAUCCAAUGGCUGUGUUUGCAUGUGGAUAUGAAAGUAUCUGAAUAUUCUGAUUAACAUUUGUAUGAAGGAUUUCUGUCUACUAAAGAGUGCAACAGAAUAGACCAUCUGGAGAGAGGGCUGUUUCAUUCCGAUGGAAGGUGGCAACAAAGUUGUCAUCUAAAAGGAGGAUGCUGGGAGUGGUAUUCUGUUCCUGGAAAUAAAAGUCAACCUAAUCCUUU